rnacentral:rRNA from 1 species
UACGUAGGCAGCAAGCGUUGUUCGGAAUUACUGGGCGUAAAGAGUGUGUAGGCGGUGCUCCAAGUCUGGUGUGAAAUCUCCCGGCUUAACUUGGAGGGUGCAUUAGAAACUGGAAUGCUAGAGGAUGGGAGAGGUAAGCGGAAUUCCUGGUGUAGCGGUGAAAUGCGUAGAUAUCAGGAGGAACACCUGUGGUGUAGACAGCUUACUGGACCAUUUCUGACGCUGAGACACGAAAGCGUGGGUAGCAAACAGG